GGCACGCGAGCUGGGUUUAGAACGUCGUGAGACAGUUCGGUCCCUAUCUGGUGUGGGCGUUGGAUGAUUGAUGGGAGCUGCUCCUAGUACGAGAGGACCGGAGUGGACGAACCGCUGGUGUUCGGGUUGUCAUGCCAAUGGCAUUGCCCGGUAGCUAUGUUCGGAACGGAUAACCGCUGAAAGCAUCUAAGCGGGAAGCCGGCCCAAAGAUGAGUCAUCCCUGACCUUUAAGGUCUGGAAGGGUUGUUAUAGACGAUGACGUUGAUAGGCAGGGUGUGGAAGCGUUGUAAGGCGUUAAGCUAACCUGUACUAAUUGCCCGAGAGGCUUAACC
rnacentral:rRNA from 1 species